GAUUGGCCGAAAGGCCUCAUCUCUAUAUCCCUCACCUCUGUGAACUGUGGACCUCUGGGUCUAUCUUAACAAACAUCAGUGUAAUGAACGUGUAUAAUAUUAAUAAAACAAAACUUUCAACAACGGAUCUCUUGGCUCU
rnacentral:misc_RNA from 1 species